GUGCCGGGGUUUCCCCGCUACGCGCCCAGCCGCGCCGCCGGCGGCCCCGGGAGCGCCGCGCCGCGCCGCGCCCGCCGGGGACACCCGGGCCAGGCCCGCCGCCCCCUGCAGCAGAAGCUGGGGGCUAGGCAAGAAGCGGCUCCGCCCGCGGCCGGAAGUAGCAAAAAGGAAGCAGAACUGGAAAAGGUACUCUGUCAGCAGUACACUGUGGUGCUAAAGCAUGACUGAAGAAGUAACUACGAGGCUGCCAGAUCAGAAAAGAACAGAUGAAGUUGCCAAAGUUCUGUACCUAUGCAUUCCUUCUGCUCACUCAGAACAACAGCUGCAAACACCUGUGGGCAUAAUUUUCAGGUAGGACAUUAACCAAUCUAUCUUAGUCAUUUACAGACAUUUAGACAUUUAUAUGUCAGUCAGGAAGACAUAUAAAUGACUUAAGUUGCACCAGUAAUUGAAUGUGCCUACAAAGUGGGGGCCAAAAAACCCUCAGGCUGCAAUUAAAAAAUCUAUCCCUCCUGGCACACCCCACGUGCCUCUGGUCUCUCAUGCUAUACGACAGUCUUGUCCCUAGUGCAACUAUCCUGAGUUUGAAGGGGCUGUUCAUGACUGACACCAUUGGGGAAACCGGAAUCAGGCCCAGAGAUAUUCAGAUCAUCAGAUGGAUUCCACAAGCAUGAUGGCCUGCCCAGUCUCAUUCCCAGCAUUGUUGCACCUGCCGCCAAUGACAGCGUCUUUAGAAAAUGAGCUUCAGUCUUCAUGUCUGGUUUCUCAAAAGCAACAAAGCAGCCAACAUCAAAGUGUAGCUGACUUCCCAUGGCCUGUCACCAAGUUUUGUGAUUUCUCACAAUGGAGCCAAGGCAUGGGCCAACAUGAGGGGUUCAAUUUAAUGCAGGUGCCCUGUUCUCAGCAUUGUCUGAAUUAUAAAGAGGAGGGUAUCAUGAUCAACAUGUACUUACUGGCGCAAAUGCAAAGUGUGCAUCUGCCUGAACUGACAUAAGGAACACCCUGUGAUUACCUGAGUAUUGUUACGUGCCUCUAGAGUGCAAGAAGCAGAACAUCAUCUCCUCCACCUGGAAAUGAAGGGGCUGAUCCUGUAUGAGGUUGAUCCAUCAGAUUUGCUCCUCUUCUGACAGGGCUGUGGAUCCCAACAUUAAUCUUGUUCAGAAGAACAUGGACUGAAAUGUGUACAAUGGAGAGAGAUCUUCUGUGUACUUUGCUGCUUUUUUUUGUUUGUUUGUUUUUUGGUUGGUUUGUUUGUUUUUGGGACAGUUAUUCCCUCGUUCUGUUUCUACACAUUCAAGAAAAUGUGUAGUGGUUUGCAUUGUCUACAGCUUUGUAACAUCUUGAAACAAUGCAUUCAACUGCUACAACUUGAGCCAAAGGGAGGGAAAAAAAGACUGACAGUAUAUGGUGCUCAUUCUAUUCAAGAUAGAGACUGCCAGUUAUACAUAUGACUGAAGCAAAGGCUCCUGAAUUGCUCUGCUUUGCUGGUCUUAGAAAAUGUCAAACUGGUUGAUUUCUGCUGCAGUAUGCUAAGUAACAUAAUCAAAGGAGCCCUCUUCUGUCACACUCUAAGUAAGUAUGCUAAAAUCUUCUCUGUUAUUCACAUGUGAGACAUACGUACCUCUGAGGUGCAGGAAAUACUAUAACCCAUAUUUUAAAGGUGUGCAGGAAAUACCACUAGCCAUACUUUAAAGGUGGCAUAAUCUUUAAUGUUGGGGGUAGAGAACAACUUGCUCAAGGUAGAAAAUUAUGUCUGCAUCAAAGUCACAGCUGCAAAUUGUCUUGUCUCUGUACCUACAUGUAGAUAGGACAGAAGAGGAAGGGAACUUUUACGGUCCUGACACAAGCAAGGCAGAUGAACUAUCUAAAUAAGCACAUCUAAUACAGCAUGGAUUGUAAGGAGUUGUGCACACGUCAGCUGAGCUUCUACAUCCCUACCAGUUAUUCCUAACCAACUUUCUUAUCAUAACUAUUUCAUGUUGCUUCUGGUUGUUGCAACAUUCUGGCCCACAGGCAAACAACUUGAAUUUUUUAGCUCAUAAUUUUAUGCAUUUCUGCUUUAUUGUCUCAUUUUGAAUCUCCAUUAAAAUGAGAAGGGGGGGGAGGGAGGAUAGGGGGACACGAGCCCUUUACAUGCUUAUUCACCAAGCAGUUUUCUUAGGUUCUUAGAGGUCUAAUUAUGAUGUGAAAACAUGAUUUCCAACUUUGCAGAUGAUACUAAAUUGGAAGAGAAUAAAAACAAAUGAGGAAUAAUUAGAUAGCGCAGCCAGAUAUGAAAGAAUUUAGAUCAUUUUAUAUUUCAGUAAUAAUAGAUGGCAAAUGCAGGGCUGUGCAAAUAAAUUCAGAAUAAUUAGCCUCACAGUGCGGCAUAAAAUGUGGGACCCUGUUUUAAAAGAUGAGAGGCUACAACACACUGAGUGAAAUAAAUCCUGAACUUAAGAGUGCAAAAUUCACAUCUAAGGUUCCCUUACCUACGUGACUUGCUAGUGACCUCAGUGGUACUCUGCUAGAAAAAUCACCAUCAGCAAGAAAAUCACCAUCUGGCCUCUGGGAAAGGAAAGGCUACACAUUAUUGUCUGAGAAGGACUAUUUCCUUCACAGUUAUUAAUUUGGUGCCCAAUAUGGGACCAAAGGCUGGAUUUGGUCUGUAGGAUGUCUCUACCCAAGCCAGUGUCUUUCUCCAGAGGCAAAAAGAACAGUGAGGAUACACCAAAGAAACAUCAGCUUUCGUUUGCCUUGCUCAAGUGCUCCCGAGGAAGAGGCACCUACCUCUGGCUGCAGCAGAGACAGACUGCUUGGCUAGAAAGAGCUCUAGGCUGAUCAGGAAUGGCCAUUUUUUAUAUACUUUCAUUAUGUUAGGUCCCUUGAUGUAUUGAGGCCUGAAGUUAGAAGAAGGUUUUCAACAGUUAGGCCGGGAAGGUUCUAGGAGAGCUGUCAGUUGAAACAAUGUGGAAAGAUACCUUGAUGGUUUUAAAACGUUGUUUCAUGGACCAUGACAGUUUAUAUGCGGAGAUAGCAAGGAUGGCAAGGGACAUCACCCUAAGAGAUCACCAUACUUUCCUAUGCUGCUGUGAACUACUUUCCGCUCUAUAUACUUCUGCCUGCUUCUCUGCUCUUGACUGAACCACAACCUGUCAAAAAUGCACUCCCUCUUCUGCAUAUAUCAGCACAUUAAUUUUCAGCUAUGUGAUACAGAAAGUUCCUCUAUAUAGACCCAAGAAAAAUUACAGGGUUUUUUCUUCACAGCAGAUGUGGGCAAGAGCCUGUUUUUUCUUGAAGAGAUGAUGUUUUGUUUGGGAAACUGAUUUUUUUGUUUUAUUGAGAGUUUUCUGUUCACAUGGAAGGUAGGAGGAAGAAGAGAAAUGUACAAAUGCAUGAGGGAAUUAAGGUCACUGCUGGUGAAUCAGUACAGCAAGGGAUUACCAACUACAGAAUAUUUUCACUCAAAGCAAAAUUAAACAGACAUCUCUGAAAUAAUGAGGUCUAAAAUCCAUCAUUAACACAUGAAAUUUGAAAAGUGUUAGGUUGAUCUCUUUGCCUAUCUAGAGAUGCCUUUAUUGAGGUGGAAUUUUACCUGUGUAGGUCUUUCUAUGGUAAACUUUUAGCUUGUUUAACAACAGCAAAAUAGUGAAAAACCCUGCCUUGUUAAGGGAUUUAUACAUUUCCUUCUAGCCACAUUUUCCAUGGAAUAGGUCUGAAUUAUUAACCAUCUUUCAAAGUAUGCAAAUGAAAGGGCUUUCAAAUCUUCCAAAUGCAAUGAAUCACGUUUCAGCAUUUCAGCAUUGAACGCCUGCGUAAUUUAUGGCAGACUGCACAUAAUUUCUAUGUAUGGCUAUACCUAACGUGGGUAGCUCAUUUCAUAUUUGAAAUUCAAUUCUGCUAGCUGACUAAUUGAUUCGUUUUCAUAAACACUCUGAAAUUUGUAAUAAGAACAAUGCUUUGCUGUAAGAUACUGUUUUGAGGCACUACCAAAAUUAACUAUGAAUAUUUACUUUCAAUAAAAGCCAGUGGGACCAACAGCAAAUAAUGAAAA